GUGGGCGUCCACACCAUUUCACCAUGCCCCCGCCCCCUUCCUUGCGCAAGCCUCGCUGUCCGCCACCCGGAAAUCACGCCCGCCGUGUCACCGCUGCGCGCAACGACCCCACCCGCGCUCCGGCAACGUCCUGCCUCGCCUCCGUCUCCGCGCUGUCGUGCUCCACUGCUCCCUCCCCGUCUCUCUCGCUCCUUCCCUCCCCCAUCUGUUCAACCGUCCACACGCAUUCGCCGCCACCAUUCGCGCGCCAGCACCAGCCACAGAGAGGCUUACCACUUCCCCACCGCUCUGGAUCCUAUUGUUCCCCGAUUGAACCUCCAGCAGCAUUAGCGGCAUCCAGUCAGUUGAUGUGUGGAUUUGGGGCCUCCAAGUGCGGAUCCAGUCCUACCUUCUCCAGAUCUGGUGUCCUCUCGCCCGGGUGGGCAUCGUCUUGCCGCCGGUCCCCUCCCCGGGCUCGUCAGCGCGAAACAUGGUCGUGGUGGGUCCGAUCUGCGGCGUGCGGAAGAACAGGAGGCUCGGUUGGUGCUGGUACCUAGAGGAGGCAGACUAGGACCAUCAGCAUCUGCAGGAGGUGGCGAAUGGGCUUCGCUAGGAGCUUCUCCAUCGGCUGGCAAUAACCAGCAAGUUUUGGAUGGUUUAGCCUUGAAAUACUUGCAACUAACUCAACGAACAAAUCUGAAGGAUGGCUUCGAAAUGCAGAAAAGUUUAUUUUCUUUACAGCCAUUCCUGAAAUUUACCAUCCAGAAAGUGAUGAUAUCGCAAUAGUUUUGAUCAUAAUUUGAAAUUCGUGAAUCUGAAAUGAAGCAUAUCAUCAAGAUACAGUGGCCUAAUAGUUGGUUUCAACAUGUAAGAAUUAGCGAUAUACCUUCUGAUCACCGAAUUUCGCUUUGUAAACGCGGGGCCUAACGACCCCUCACAAAUAAGACUGUCAGGACCGAAGCUGCCUGUUGCACCUGAAGGUCUGCCACCGUCUAUGCAUGUAUUGUUAUGGAACCAACUGGUGUGGGAAUAAUAGCAAUAUUUGGAUUCAUGUUCCAUUUUAGGUUGGAGUCUGCCUCAAAUUUAGAACUUACCUUUUGUGGUUGAUCAAAUACACCAUAGCCAUUGGAUCGAAAUCCUGGUCAUAUGGAGUCGCCACCAUAGCCAUACUUCAUCAAGUUUUUGAUCUUCGUAUUUUUCUUUUUUUCUUGUUUUUAUUGCCUGAGCUCCAUGUUUUUGGUUUUGCUUUUGAGUCUGUGGCUGUUGUUGUGGUUCUGAUUUGUGGGGCUUAAGGAAGCCAUCGCCUUUGAGAGAACCAGAUGGCUUCUUGCUCAUGCCAUCUCAGUUCAGUUGCGGGCAUAGGGAAUCGUCAUCCUCUCUGCUUUGUCCCAUCCUUCACAUAGUGUCCUACUAUGAGAUGGCAGAUGAGUUUUUGAACAAAUCCUUUUCUUUUAAUUCCUUUUUUCAGUGAGUAGAGCCACAUUUUUUUCAGGAACUAAGGAUGCAGGCACUCGAAAGACAUAGGAAUCCAGUGUCCCUGUAAUUUGUAAUAGUUUCUAAGGGGAGACAAACAAUACAAUUGGUUUAUCACUUUGUAUCUUAAUUAAAUGCACCUUGCCUUCUAAGCAUUAAUUUGCUGUCAUCAAUUUGUGCAGGCAUACGUGGAGUAGGAAAUAUGAAGCUCAUUUAUGGGACAAUUCUUGCAGAGUAGAUGGACGUAGAAGGAAAGGGACAAGGCACAUGGAACUGACUUGGUUUUGCUGACAGAAGUUUUUGUAGAGCUGCUAUUAAUGUUUUGCUUGUCAAGUUUUUAAUCAAUCUUGAAUCAUUUACGGUGAACAUCUUUGGUUCUAUUUUCAUCGUCGGGUGGCAAGAAACUAAUCAAAGGGAGAUUCCUUGCAAUGGACUGUUUAGCUACAGCUGAGAAGCAUGCUUUCUAGGUAUUGUUGGACAGUAAAUUGCAAGCGAGUUUCUGUAAUUAUGAGAGUCAGGAAAGUAGCACCUCGUGAAAGAUUCUCCAGUUAUAUUAAUUUCUGAACAUUUUCUGUUUUUCAUUCUCAUGCAAUGUGGUUUAAUUGAUGAUCCCAGAUGUAUAUAGCAUAAUAGUAUACAGAUAAAAGCUUUUACAUUUUUAUUUGUAUAAUUGUGAAAUAGUUCUCCAAAAUUUUGUUUUAGCUAUAGCCUA